UUCGGGAUGCUGGCGAGUGGCGAACGGGUGCGUAACACGUGGAUACCUGUCCUGAGGCGGGGGACAACAGCUGGAAACGGCUGCUAAUACCGCAUAAGCCCUACGGGGGAAAGAUUUAUCACCUUGGGAGGGGUCCGCGUCGGAUUAGCUAGUUGGUAAGGUAACGGCUUACCAAGGCGACGAUCCGUAGCUGGUCUGAGAGGAUGAUCAGCCACACUGGGACUGAGACACGGCCCAGACUCCUACGGGAGGCAGCAGUGGGGAAUAUUGCGCAAUGGGGGCAACCCUGACGCAGCGAUGCCGCGUGAGUGAAGAAGGCCUUCGGGUUGUAAAGCUCUUUCAGUAGGGAAGAUUGUGACGGUACCUACAGAAGAAGCUCCGGCUAACUCCGUGCCAGCAGCCGCGGUAAUACGGAGGGGGCGAGCGUUGUUCGGAAUUACUGGGCGUAAAGGGCGCGUAGGCGGUUUGACAAG
rnacentral:rRNA from 1 species